rnacentral:misc_RNA from 1 species
CAUCAACCUUGCAAUUUGCAAGUCAUGGAUAACAUUUGAAAAUGUUUAUUAGCAAGUCCUAGAGAUUCUGGACUAUGAUGCUUGCAUCAACAUUGGGCCUAACAAUUUGUUAACAAAAUUAUACUGCAUCACUUCUACAACAGUACUUUUAGCAAAUAUGAGUCUUGCACUUGUGAAUAUGCAAGUUCAUUGUGAGUGAGGAAAUAAUCUCAAAUCUUUAUGAAUUCUUGAUUAUGUUAUUUUGUCUAGCUCUUAGUGUUGGAAUUAUGAAAUUCUAUGUUCCAACUUGAGGGGGAG